CCCACCACUCCCAGCUUAGACUGUGUUUCAAAUCCUUGGGAAUUCUGGGAUUGUUACCUCUCUGUGCAUGUGGCAUCACAAAAGUCAGUCUGGCAUUUUUGCCAGCAGUUUGAAGUUAACGAUGAUCAUUUUCAAACAUAAUUUUACAAAAGCUCUUCUCUUCUAAAACUCAGUUUGUUAAAAAAAGAAAUCCUAUUUUCUUAAAGUUCCUCAAGUACUGACAGACAAUUUGGACAAGAUGGGCACUGAACUUUGCUUUCUCAGGGAAGCCCCAGGAGAGGAACAUUCUGAAAGCACGAGAAUGAGACUCUUCAGGCAGUAAUUGCUUUUCCCUGAAAACUUUGCACUUGAUCCUGUACUGAAAAAACCAAGCCCUAACCAUGUCAACGCAGAUCCGUCGGUCACCACCCAGUCGACUGCAAUCCUCACUGCGGGACCGGACUAAGAUGCCCCAUUAAAGUUGUUGUUCUCCUGUGGAAGCACUCCCCCAAGGUGUUCCCUGGGAGAGAGGAAAUACUUCGUAAGAUCAGAUAAAGCCAAGAAUACUGGCAUCACUCAUGUCUAUUUGAAAACUGUAGAUUUUUACAAAAAAAAUCUCCAGUCCAAAGUUAACCUAUUGGAAACUGACCACUGAGAGUUGGCCCCCUGUCUAAAGGUUUAACUGUAAGUAAACAAUCUAAAAAAAAAAUUAAAGACCUUGUUUUUGA